rnacentral:rRNA from 1 species
CGCGUAGGCGGUUUAUACAGUCAGAUGUGAAAUUCCUGGGCUUAACCUGGGGGCUGCAUUUGAGACGUAUAGGCUUGAGUAUGGAAGAGGGUCGUGGAAUUUCCAGUGUAGAGGUGAAAUUCGUAGAUAUUGGAAAGAACACCGGUGGCGAAGGCGGCGACCUGGUCCAUAACUGACGCUGAGGCGCGAAAGCGUGGGGAGCAAACAGGAUUAGAUACCCUGGUAGUCCGCGCUGUAAACGAUGUGUGCUGGAUGUUGGGUAACUUAGUUACUCAGUGUCGUAGCUAACGGCGGUAAGCACACCGCCGUGGGGAGUACGGCCGCAAGGUUGAA